AUUGAACGCUGGCGGCAGGCCUAACACAUGCAAGUCGAGCGGAGCCGCGGACGGGUGAGUAAUGUCUGGGAACCUGCCGGAUGGGGGGGGAUAACUACUGGAAACGGUAGCUAAUACCGCAUACUAUCAGAUGAGCCUAGGUCGGAUUAGCUAGUUGGUGGGGUAAGGGCCUACCAAGGCGCCGAUCCGUAACUGGUCUGAGAGGAUGCUCAGUAAAACUGGAACUGAGACACGGUCCAGACUCCUACGGGAGGCAGCAGUGGGGAAUAUUGGAAAAUGGGCGAAAGCCGGAUGCAGCCAUGCCUCGGGUGUGAAGAAGGUCUUCGGAUUGUAAAGCACUUUAAGUUGGGAGGCGUUACCAACAGAAUAAGCACCGGCUAACUACGUGCCAGCAGCCGCGGUAAUUC
rnacentral:rRNA from 1 species